GACGAACGCUGGCGGCGUGCCUAAUACAUGCAAGUAGAACGCAGUUGCGAACGGGUGAGUAACGCGUAGGUAACCUGCCUCAUAGAGGGGGAUAACUAUUGGAAACGAUAGCUAAUACCGCAUACUGUGAGAUGGACCUGCGUUGUAUUAGCUAGUUGGUGAGGUAAAGGCUCACCAAGGCGAAGAUACAUAGCUGGUUUGAGGGGACGACCAGCCACCCUUGGACUGAGACACGGCCCCUACUCCUACGUGAGGCAGCAGUGGGGAAUUUUUGACAAUGGGGGAAACCCUGAUCCAGCCAUCCCGCGUGUGCGAUGAAGGCCUUCGGGUUGUAAAGCACUUUUGGCAGGAAAGCGGUACCUGCAGAAUAAGCACCGGCUAACUACGUGCCAGCAGCCGCGGUAAUAC
rnacentral:rRNA from 1 species